GACUGGUGGGUAGCAACCCAAAUCAAGGGGAGGGAGCUAGGUAGAAUUAUUAGAGAAGUGGUAAAAUGCUAACUCUAUUUAAUUUUUUUUAAAAUCCCUCUGAGGCUAAGACUUAAACAAGGAUUAGAUACCCUUUUAUACUUAGAGAUAAAGACCCUUAGGUAGUAGUUGGUAUAAUCUUGAAACCUAAAGGGUAUGGCGGUACCUAAUAUAAUCAGAGGAACCUGCUCAGUAAUCGAUAAUCCACGCUAUAUCUUACCUACCAUAGGUUUGUAUACCGUCGUCUAGAUCUUUCCUGAAGGUAAGAUUGAAAGUAGUUAUAAAUAAGUCAGAUCAAGGCGCAGCUUUGGUAGGGCAGGGUGGGUUACAAUUAAUCUCUUACUGGAGUAAGCCUUAACUAGCUACCGAAAAUGGAUUUGAAAGUAACCUAGGUUUAAUAAACCAUCGUGAGUAUCACCUUAGGUAUGUAC
rnacentral:rRNA from 1 species